rnacentral:rRNA from 1 species
CUACGUGCCAGCAGCCGCGGUAAUACGGAAGGUCCGGGCGUUAUCCGGAUUUAUUGGGUUUAAAGGGAGCGUAGGCCGGAGAUUAAGUGUGUUGUGAAAUGUAGACGCUCAACGUCUGACUUGCAGCGCAUACUGGUUUCCUUGAGUACGCACAACGUUGGCGGAAUUCGUCGUGUAGCGGUGAAAUGCUUAGAUAUGACGAAGAACUCCGAUUGCGAAGGCAGCUGACGGGAGCGCAACUGACGCUUAAGCUCGAAGGUGCGGGUAUCGAACAGGAUUAGAUACCCUGGUAGUCCGCACAGUAAACGAUGGAUGCCCGCUGCUGGUACCUGGUAUCAGCGGCUAAGCGAAAGCAUUAAGCAUCCCACCUGGGGAGUACGCCGGCAACGGUGAAACUCAAAGGAAUUGACGGGGGCCCGCACAAGCGGAGGAACAUGUGGUUUAAUUCGAUGAUACGCGAGGAACCUUACCCGGGCUUGAA